rnacentral:rRNA from 1 species
UUGGGAAUAUUGGACAAUGGGCGCAAGCCUGAUCCAGCCAUGCCGCGUGAGUGAUGAAGGCCUUAGGGUUGUAAAGCUCUUUCAGAUGUGAAGAUGAUGACGGUAACAUCAGAAGAAGCCCCGGCUAAAUUCGUGCCAGCAGCCGCGGUAAUACGAAUGGGGCAAGCGUUGUUCGGAAUCACUGGGCGUAAAGCGUGCGUAGGCGGUCAUGUAAGUCAGAAGUGAAAGCCCAGGGCUUAACCCUGGAACUGCUUUUGAAACUGCAUGACUAGAGUCCCGGAGAGGUUGGCGGAAUUCCGAGUGUAGAGGUGAAAUUCGCAGAUAUUCGGAGGAACACCAGUGGCGAAGGCGGCCAACUGGACGGGAACUGACGCUCAGGCACGAAAGCGUGGGGAGCAAACA